UAUCAACUUUCGAUGGUAGGAUAGAGGCCUACCAUGGUGGUAACGGGUAACGGGGUGUUAGGGCACGACACCGGAGAGGGAGCCUGAGAAACGGCUACCACAUCCAAGGAUGGCAGCAGGCGCGCAAAUUACCCAAUCCCGACACGGGGAGGUAGUGACAAUAAAUAACAAUACGGGGUUCUUUCGGAUCUCGUAAUUGGAAUGAGUACAAUUUAAAUCUCUUAACGAGGAACAAUUGGAGGGCAAGUCUGGUGCCAGCAGCCGAGGUAAUUCCAGCUCCAAUAGCGUAUAUUAAAGUUGUUGCAGUUAAAAAGCUCGUAGUUGAAUUUCGGGAUCAGUAGGUUGGUCAUGCCUAUGGUAUGUACUGGCUUUACUGGUUCCUCCUUCUUGAUGAUCUGUAAUGUCAUUAAUUUGGUGUUGCAGGGAGUCAGGACUGUUACUUUGAAAAAAUUAGAGUGUUUAAAGCAGGCAUACGCUUGAAUACAUUAGCAUGGAAUAAUGAAAUAGGACGUUCGAUCCUAUUUUGUUGGUUUCUAGGAUUGACGUAAUGAUUAAUAGGGAUAGUUGGGGGCAUUAGUAUUCAAUUGUCAGAGGUGAAAUUCUUGGAUUUAUUGAAGACUAACUACUGCGAAAGCAUUUGCCAAGGAUGUUUUCAUUAAUCAAGAACGAAAGUUAGGGGAUCGAAGACGAUCAGAUACCGUCGUAGUCUUAACCAUAAACUAUGCCGACUAGGGAUCGGAUGAUGUUAUUUUUAAUGACUCAUUCGGCGCCUUACGGGAAACCAAAGUGUUUGGGUUC
rnacentral:rRNA from 1 species